rnacentral:rRNA from 1 species
UAGGGAAUCUUCCACAAUGGCGCAAGCCUGAUGGAGCAACACCGCGUGAGUGAAGAAGGGUUUCGGCUCGUAAAGCUCUGUUGUUAAAGAAGAACACGUAUGAGAGUAACUGUUCAUACGUUGACGGUAUUUAACCAGAAAGUCACGGCUAACUACGUGCCAA